rnacentral:rRNA from 1 species
GAUGAACGCUGGCGGCGUGCCUAAUACAUGCAAGUCGAGCGAACGGACGAGAAGCUUGCUUCUCUGAUGUUAGCGGCGGACGGGUGAGUAACACGUGGAUAACCUACCUAUAAGACUGGGAUAACUUCGGGAAACCGUAGCUAAUACCGGAUAAUAUUUUGAACCGCAUGGUUCAAAAGUGAAAGACGGUCUUGCUGUCACUUAUAGAUGGAUCCGCGCUGCAUUAGCUAGUUGGUAAGGUAACGGCUUACCAAGGCAACGAUGCGUAGCCGACCUGAGAGGGUGAUCGGCCACACUGGAACUGGGACACGGUCCAGACUCCUGCGGGAGGCAGCAGUAGGGAAUCUUCCGCAAUGGGCGAAAGCUUGACGGAGCAACGCCGCGUGAGUGAUGAAGGUCUUCGGAUCGUAAAACUCUGUUAUUAGGGAAGAACAAAUGUGUAAGUAACUAUGCACGUCUUGACGGUACCUAAUCAGAAAGCCACGGCUAACUACGUG